AUUGAACGCUGGCGGCAUGCCUUACACAUGCAAGUCGAACGGUAACGCGGGGCAACCUGGCGACGAGUGGCGAACGGGUGAGUAAUGUAUCGGAACGUGCCCAGUUGUGGGGGAUAACUGCUCGAAAGAGCAGCUAAUACCGCAUACGACCUGAGGGUAAAAGCGGGGGAUCGCAAGACCUCGCGCAAUUGGAGCGGCCGAUAUCAGAUUAGGUAGUUGGUGGGGUAAAGGCCUACCAAGCCGACGAUCUGUAGCUGGUCUGAGAGGACGACCAGCCACACUGGGACUGAGACACGGCCCAGACUCCUACGGGAGGCAGCAGUGGGGAAUUUUGGACAAUGGGGCAACCCUGAUCCAGCCAUGCCGCGUGCGGGAAGAAGGCCUUCGGGUUGUAAACCGCUUUUGUCAGGGAAGAAAAGACUCCUACUAAUACUGGGGGUUCAUGACGGUACCUGAAGAAUAAGCACCGGCUAACUACGUGCCAGCCGCCGCGGUAACAC
rnacentral:rRNA from 1 species